rnacentral:tRNA from 1 species
GGGUCUGUGGCUUAGUUGGUAGAGCACUUGCUUGGCAUGCUAGAGGCCCUGGGUUUGAACACCAGCACAGCCA